CUUGGAGGCUUCCAGCUCACUCUCUUUCUGCAGUGUGUCUGUACAGGGAACCUUGGCAAGCAGGGCACAUUUUAUUUUAAUGGAGAAAGAAGCAGUGAUGUUAGCUGUGGCCUUUCUUCACCUACAAAAGAAGGGGAAAGCUGGAGGAGGACAUUCAGGCUUUUCCUCAGUUCUUGCCUAUUGAAGAGAUUCAUAAAUCAAAGGAAAUAAGAUGCUCGGUGGAACCUUGCUGAGUGAUUGGAAAUCCCUAGUUGAAUGCAUAUGGGACUGAAGCAUUUGGGAAACAAAUUUUUGAAGCUGUUACUGUUGAACUGAAAUGGAAUGUUGAAGAGGCUAACUGAAACUGUGAGAAAUGAAUGGAGAAAGAUAGGACAGAAAAUUUCCUGUAACCUUUGGUCACUGCAGAGCAAGUUGAAGACAAUGAUGAUGGGACUUUCAGGAUGCUGCAACAGAGGCGUCUUGCCGACCACCAGAGCACGUGUGCCAUACCACCAGUUUCCAAGUCAUCACAGCCCUCCUCUGAAGACCAUGCUACUUCAUAAUCUCUGCUUCUGCUAGCUAGGUUGAGUUAUUACAGCAGGAAAUGCUAGAAUC
rnacentral:lncRNA from 1 species